rnacentral:misc_RNA from 1 species
GACCAGCUUUAUCUCUUGUGCUUGAGCGGAUGAAACCUUCUGGGUUACCUUCAGAAGCAUAUGAUUCCACAAAAUUAGUUUCUGCCGGCCAACAAUCUAAAACCGGAUCGAAGAUUGGAAAGCCCUCUGUCAAUGGUUGCAAUGAUCGCGGGCCUAAGCAUGGGAACAAGGCUAUUUCUGCUAGAGGUGUUCCAACAAGGCCUUCAAAAUCUGAACCAAUUGUGGCUGGUCGAGAUCUUGCAAUUCAAUCACAGGCAUUAUUCAACCUUAAGGACUCAAACAAGGA